rnacentral:rRNA from 1 species
UAGGGAAUCUUCCGCAAUGGACGCAAGUCUGACGGAGCAACGCCGCGUGAGUGAAGAAGGAUCUCGGUUCGUAAAACUCUGUUGUUAGAGAAGAACAGCGCAUAGAGUAACUGUUAUGCGUGUGACGGUAUCUAACCAGAAAGCCACGGCUAACUACGUGCCAGCAGCCACGGUAAUACGUAGGUGGCAAGCGUUGUCCGGAUUUAUUGGGCGUAAAGCGAGCGCAGGCGGUCAAUUAAGUCUGAUGUGAAAGCCCCCGGCUCAACCGGGGAGGGUCAUUGGAAACUGGUUGACUUGAGUGCAGAAGAGGAGAGUGGAAUUCCAUGUGUAGCGGUGAAAUGCGUAGAUAUAUGGAGGAACACCAGUGGCGAAGGCGACUCUCUGGUCUGUAACUGACGCUGAGGCUCGAAAGCGUGGGUAGCAAACAGG